AACGACUCAAAAAUAUUCAAAAAAACCUUCCAAGAGUCGAUCUAACUCUAUAUCUAGAUCUAGAUAAGGGACGUACUCUGGUCUUGUCUUGUAUUUCGAAUUUCAACUAAAAUCGAUUUUAAUACAGGAUACAACAGCUAUGGAAAAAUUAUUACAAAAUCUGCAACAAAAACAGGAAUUGGAAGUGCUGAAAAAUAAAAAGGCAUUUGCGCAAUUAAAUGAUAUGGUAAACAAGCUAGGAGCUACCGUUGUGGAUCUGGCCAAAUAUGUGAAUGAGGGUUCAUCAUCUUCAAAUAACCAAAGGAGUCACGAUAAUCCAAAAAGAAAUCUGCACACGAAGAUGCCCAAGUUCAACGAGAAAAAUGUAGAAGGUUGGAUAUAUCAAGUAAAAACAUACUUUCGUUAUCAUGUUACUCCUGACGAUGAAAGAAUCGUACAAGCAACCAUGAACAUGGAAGAUGAGUCGUUGGACUAGAUGGUUUGGAUAGAGGCCGAAGGGAAUCUACAAUCUUGGUCUGAUUUCUUAGAAGAUUUACAAAAAAGAUUUGGCAGCAGUCCUUACGACUUACCAACGAGACGUUUGGGAAGGCUGGUACAAACAACAUCGGUCAAAGAUUAUCAAAAUAAAUUUGAAGCUCUAGCAACUAAAGUAAGAGGAGUUUCAGAGGAGACAAAGAGACAAAUGUAUAUCACAGGUUUAAAACCAGAUAUUCAAAAAGAACUAGUGAAGGCAAGACCCGAGGUACAAGAAACUAUUUAUUCUAAUAAUAAACAACUAGUGGUUUGGGAAGGUCAACGUAACAACUAUGCCCCACCGCAUAAAAGAAUUGGAGAGGCAGGACAGAACAGAGAGACAGUUAUAAGAAACAAGUUGACACCAAUAGAAAUGAAAGCAAGAAGAGAAAAAUGACUAUGUUACAAUUGUGAUGAGAAAUGGAUUCGCGGUCAUCGUUGCAAAGGUCAAUUAUUCAGAUUAUCGGCUGAGGGAGAUGUAUUGACUGAAAUGAAUGAAGAAGAUUUUGAGGAUACAGAGGAAUUUAAAGAUGUUAUCGACAACAUACAAACAACUGAGAUAUCAAAAAUUAGCUUGUAUACAUUGAAUGGUGAACCAGAUCCAAAGACAAUUCGUUUAUGGGGGAUUCUAAAGGGUCAGAUAGUUUCUAUAUUAAUUGAUUCAGGGUCUUCUCAUAAUUUUGUGCAGGACGAAAUAGCUCGGAAACUAUGUUUGUCGACAAGUCCUAUUACGGAAUUUUCUGUAGCCACAGGAAGUGGAGAGGUAUUGAUAUGUUCUAGAAUGUGUAAAGACAGUUCCAUUAUAAUCCAAGGAGCCAUUGUUAAAACAGAUUUAUUCGUCCUGAAGAUGGAAGGUGCAAACAUGGUGUUGGGAGUACAAUAGAUGAAGUCUAUUGGCAGAAUAUUAACUGAUUGGGUCGAUAUGUCUAUGGAAUUUAUUUUUGACAAAAAUCUAACGGUUUGGAAGAGUGAACCGAUGAUAGAGGAAGAGACUUUGUCUUCAAGAGAAUUUCGUAAUUUGGUCGGAGGUACUAAACAAGCAUACCUAUGCAGAUUUGAAAUGAAAAAUUCAAAAAAUAAAGAAGUGCUUUUAGAGGAAGACAAUAGUAUUUCUGUACGAACAAAAUAAUUAUUGAACAACUUUAGGGAUAUUUUUGAAGAACCUAAAGAGUUACCAC
rnacentral:lncRNA from 1 species